GAAAUGCGAUAAGUAAUGUGAAUUGCAGAAUUCCGUGAAUCAUCGAAUCUUUGAACGCACAUUGCGCCCCCUGGUAUUCCGGGGGGCAUGCCUGUCCGAGCGUCAUUUCAAACCCUCAAGCACGGCUUGUGUGAUGGGCGACGCGUCCGCUCCGGUAGCGGACGGGCCCCAAAUGGAGUGUGCGGCGCGGUGCGCUUGGCUGCAGUGUAUGGGAACAUCUGUCACACGUUCGCGGUGCGGACCGGCGCCUGCUUGACUUUUCUGAUUAUCCAGGUUGACCUCGGAUCAGGUAGGGAUACCCGCUGAACUUAAGC
rnacentral:misc_RNA from 1 species